UACGAAGGGGGCUAGCGUUGUUCGGAAUUACUGGGCGUAAAGCGCGCGCAGGUGGUCUUUCAAGUCAGUGGUGAAAGCCCGGAGCUCAACUCCGGAAAUGCCAUUGAAACUGUAAGACUUGAGGAUGAGAGAGGUGAGUGGAAUUCCCAGUGUAGAGGUGAAAUUCGUAGAUAUUGGGAAGAACACCGGUGGCGAAGGCGGCUCACUGGCUCAUAUCUGACGCUCAGGCGCGACAGCGUGGGAUCAAACAGG
rnacentral:rRNA from 1 species